CCUACGGGCGGCUGCAGUCGAGAAUCAUUCGCAAUGGGCGAAAGCCUGACGAUGCGACGCCGUGUGAGCGAUGAAGGCCUUCGGGUUGUAAAGCUCUUUCGCUUAGGAACGAGUACUAGGUAAAGAAGCACCGGCUAACUCCGUGCCAGCAGCUGCGGUAAUACGGAGGGUGCAAGCAUUAAUCGGAAUUACUGGGCGUAAAGGGCGCGUAGGCGGGUUUAAAAGUCAGAUGUGAAAUUCCGGACCUCAAUUUCGGAACUGCAUUUGAAACUCUAAAUCUAGAGGGUAGGCGGAGAAAAUGGAAUUCCACGUGUAGCGGUGAAAUGCGUAGAUAUGUGGAAGAACACCAGUGGCGAAAGCGAUUUUCUACUAUACCUGACGCUGAGGCGCGAGAGCAAGGGGAGCAAACAGGAUUAGAUACCCUAGUAGUC
rnacentral:rRNA from 1 species